UACGUAGGGGGCGAGCGUUGUCCGAAGUUACUGGGCGUAAAGCGCGCGUAGGCGGGUCUUUAAGUGAGGGGUGAAAGGUUCGGGCUCAACCCGGACACUGCCUUUCAUACUGGGGACCUUGAGUGCGGGAGGGGCGAGUGGAAUGGUCGGUGUAGCGGUGAAAUGCGUAGAUAUCAGGAGGAAUACCGAUGGCGAAGGCAGGUCUCUGGGCUGACACUGACGCUCAUGCACGAAAGCGUGGGGAGCAAACAGG
rnacentral:rRNA from 1 species